UAGCUUAGUUGGUAGUGCGUCUGCCUUGUAAGCGCUAGGCCGCGGGUUCGAUUCCCGCCCGGGGCG
rnacentral:tRNA from 1 species